AUUUUUUUUGUAGAAUACACUUUAUUGACAACCCUUAAACAUGAACAAACAGAAAAUCCUAACAUUAAAAAAAUGGUUUUGUACGUUGUUUGUCAAAAUUAUUUCCAAAUGCAAUAGCUUUAUCACAAAAAACAAAACUUUUUAAAAACAGAAUAGUCUACUUAACAAAUAACUAAAAAAAGCCUAAAAAAUGAAACAUAUUUUCCCAAACUAAUAACACCCCUCCGACUUGGAAAAUACAAACUUACAGCUUGAAGAGGGACAUUAACCAAAAAAAAAAAAAUUGCUAAAAAUGUAAUUAAAACAUCAAUGACUGAACUAAAAUGAUUUAUAGCAACUGUCAACCUGUGAAGUACUAAGUAAUGUCAAAACAAAGUUACGUUCUUUG